GCCUGUGUGGGGUAAUGCUUUGCAUGCUGGACUAUGACUCUGGAGACCAAGGUUCAAUUCCCAGCUUGGCCA